rnacentral:rRNA from 1 species
AGAGGUCUCAAGCGUUGUUCGGAUUCAUUGGGCGUAAAGGGUGCGUAGGCGGCGCGGUAAGUCGGGUGUGAAAUCUCGGAGCUUAACUCCGAAACUGCAUUCGAUACUGCCGUGCUUGAGGACUGGAGAGGAGACUGGAAUUUACGGUGUAGCGGUGAAAUGCGUAGAUAUCGUAAGGGAGACCAGUGGCGAAGGCGGGUCUCUGGACAGUUACCGACGCUGAUGCACGAAGGCCAGGGGAGCAAACGGG